ensembl:rRNA 5S_rRNA 5S ribosomal RNA
GUCUACGGCCAUACCACCCUGAACGCGCCCGAUCUUGUCUGAUCUCAGAAGCUAAGCAGGGUCGGGCCUGGUUAGUACUUGGAUGGGAGACCGCCUGGGAUUACCAGGUGCUGUAGGCU